rnacentral:misc_RNA from 1 species
UGGAGUGCCAUACAGAGCCAGUUUCGUGGAUUUUGUUACUGAAGUAAACAAGAGCCACAAAAUUGAAGGAUACUGUAUAGAUGUGUUCCUUGAAGCAAGGAAACUAGUCCCGUAUGAUGUACCUUACAGGUUUGAGCCUUUUGGGGAUGGUCGGUCCGAUCCAAACUAUAAUGAGCUCGUGAGGAUGGUGGCAGAAGAUGUAUUUGAUGCAGCUGUUGGAGACAUUGCGAUUGUAAGAAACCGGACG